GCAAGAACAAAGGAUUCCAACACCCAAGAGUUCAGAGUAACCAGCCGCCAACCACCUUUUUUAGUGUAAAAGAAGCUUGAAUUCUACUUGGAGGCGCUGAAAGAGCCAAGUGGAAUCUAGCCCAGCUGCCAGUUCCCCAGAGACCCUGCGUGUCACCUCCCGCCAGCACACUGGAGAAGGGCCAUGUGGCCCGGAGACUGCCUCCCACCCCCGGCCCACAACUGCUGCUGCUGCUGCCCUUCCCAGACCACCACAGUCACCAUGACUGGUCUGAGGGAGGAAGACUCAGGCCACUACUGGUAUCGCAUCUACCACACCUCCGGCUGCUCUGUCUCCAAGCCCGUGAAGUUCUAUCCGGUGGUGUCGCC